UACGGAGGGGACUAGCGUUGUUCGGAAUUACUGGGCGUAAAGCGCACGUAGACGGAUUUGUUAGUCAGGGGUGAAAUCCCGAGGCUCAACCUCGGAACUGCCUUUGAUACUGCAAAUCUCGAGUCCGGAAGAGGUGAGUGGAAUUCCUAGUGUAGAGGUGAAAUUCGUAGAUAUUAGGAAGAACACCAGUGGCGAAGGCGGCUCACUGGUCCGGUACUGACGCUGAGGUGCGAAAGCGUGGGGAGCAAACAGG
rnacentral:rRNA from 1 species